rnacentral:rRNA from 1 species
CCUACGGGUGGCAGCAGUGAGGAAUAUUGGUCAAUGGGCGCGAGCCUGAACCAGCCAAGUAGCGUGAAGGAUGACUGCCCUACGGGUUGUAAACUCCUUUUAUAAAGGAAUAAAGUGAGGCACGUGUGCCUUUUUGUAUGUACUUUAUGAAUAAGGAUCGGCUAACUCUGUGCCAGCGGACGCGGUAAUACGGAGGAUCCGAGCGUUAUCCGGAUGUAUUGGGUUUACAGGGAGCGUAGAUGGGUUGUUAAGUAAGGUGUGAAAGUUUGCGGCUGAACCGUAAAAUUGAAAUUGAUACUGGCAGUCUUGAGUACAGUUGAGGUAAGCGGAAUUCUUGGUGUAGCGGUGAAAUGCUUAGAUAUCACGAAGAACACCGAUUGCGAAGGCAGCUUACU